rnacentral:ncRNA from 1 species
GGGGGUGGUAUUCCCAUCCAAGGCUAAAUACGUGAGGAGACCGAUAGAUUACAAGUAGUGUGAACGAAAGAUGAAAAGAACUCUAAAACAGAGGGUGAAAAGUUCCUGAACUUGCUUAGGGUUAAGGCUAUUUAUAGUACCCGUCUUGAAACACGGAUUAGGGAGUUUAUCUGUAGUGCGAGUCUUUGCACGUUAACUGUAAAGGCGUAGAGAAAGCAACUGGCGUUUGCAUGGCUACUGAGCAUUACUGAUAGGACCCGAAAGGUGGUGAACUUUGCCUGCACAGGUUGAAGUCAGGGGAAACUCUGAUGGAGGACCGUACGGGUUAUUGAUGUGCAAAUCAUUUUUCUGAUGUAGGUAAAGGUGCGAAAGACUCAUCGAACCACCUAAUAGCUGGUUUCCUCCGAAGUUUCCCUCAGGAUAGCUGUAAUGCAUUUAGUUAAGGGGAGUAGAGAUAUGGGUAGAGGUGCAGGGAGCCUUCGGGUUCUCAACUUAUUUCCAAACUUCGAACCUCCUUGUUAGGCAUUUACCUAACUGGAAAUGCUUAAAUGAAUUAGCGUUACAAGUGGGCUCUGACCGGUAAGCGGUCAUGGCGAAAUGGGAUGAACCAUACGUCUGAAUAAGGUGCCGAAAUGUACUAUCACUGAUACCAUAAAGGGAGUCCAUGUAUUUAGACAGCAGGUCGGUGCCCCUAAAAGCAGGUAUCCGCUAAAGAGUGUGUUAAAACUCACCUGCCGAAUACUAGGGCCCCGAAAAUGAAUGGCGCAUAUAGUACUACCGAUCUCAGACAUCAGUUCUAUUGAACUGAGAGUAGGGGGAUGUGGACAUUUUUGUGAAGGUGCAAUGUGAGUUGGACUGGAAGAAUGUCUAUUACAGAUCCUAAUUGAAGUAGCGAUUAUCCAGGCUUGUAUCCUGGGGGCUGAUGAGGAGUAGGGUUUCUGGACAACUUAAACAGAUCCAGAGUUAGUCGAUCCUAAUCUCAAUAAUGGGAGAAAGGGAGUACAGUUGAUAUUCUGUAACUGACAACAGUUCGCGGCAACGCAUACUAUUUU